rnacentral:rRNA from 1 species
GACGUAGGGCGCGAGCGUUGUCCGGAUUUAUUGGGCGUAAAGAGCUCGUAGGCGGCUUGUCGCGUCGACUGUGAAAACCCGCGGCUCAACUGCGGGCCUGCAGUGGGUACGGGCAGACUAGAGUGCGGUAGGGGAGACUGGAAUUCCUGGUGUAGCGGUGAAAUGCGCAGAUAUCAGGAGGAACACCGGUGGCGAAGGCGGAUCUCUGGGCCGAUAGUGACGCUGAGGAGCGAAAGCGUGGGGAGCGAACAGG